AUUGAACGCUGGCGGCAGGCCUAACACAUGCAAGUCGAGGGAGCGGCGGACGGGUGAGUAAUGUACGGGGACUGCCCGUUAGAGGGGGAUAACUACUGGAAACGGUAGCUAAUACCGCAUACUAUCGGAUAACCCAUAUGGUAUGAGCUAGUAGGUGGGGUAAUGGUUCACCUAGGCGACGAUCCCUAGCUGGUCUGUGAGGAUGAUCAGCCACACUGGGACUGAGACACGGCCCAGACUCCUACGGAGGCAGCAGUGGGGAAUUUUGGACAAUGGGGGAAACCCUGAUCCAGCCAUCCCGCGUGUAUGAAGAAGGCCCUAGGGUUGUAAAGUACUUUCAGUCGGGAGGCGUUACCGACAGAAGAAGCACCGGCUAACUCCGUGCCAGCAGCCGCGGUAAUAC
rnacentral:rRNA from 1 species